rnacentral:piRNA from 1 species
UGAGUUAUAUAGUAAGCUUCAGGCCAG